CCCUUAGACGUUCUGGGCCGCACGCGCGCUACACUGACCGGUGCAACAAGCAUCCGUCCUUGGCCGACAGGCCCGGGCAAUCUUUGAACGCCGGUCGUGAUGGGGAUAGACUUUUGCAAUUUUUGGUCUUCAACGAGGAAUUCCUAGUAAACGCAAGUCAUCAACUUGCAUUGAUUACGUCCCUGCCCUUUGUACACACCGCCCGUCGCACCUACCGAUUGAAUGGUCCGGUGAAGCCUCCGGAUUGGCGCGCACCUCGGUGCCGCCGAGAAGUUGGCUAAACCUUACCAUUUAGAGGAAGGUGAANUCGUAGCA
rnacentral:rRNA from 1 species